UACGGAGGAUGCAAGCGUUAUCCGGAUUUAUUGGGUUUAAAGGGUGCGCAGGCGGGAGAUUAAGUCGGCGGUGAAAUUUUGCAGCUCAACUGUAAAAGUGCCUUCGAAACUGGUUUCCUUGAGUGUGGAUGAAGUAGGCGGAAUUUGUGGUGUAGCGGUGAAAUGCAUAGAUAUCACGAGGAACUCCGAUUGCGCAGGCAGCUUACUAAACCAUAACUGACGCUCAGGCACGAAGGCGUGGGGAUCAAACAGGAUUAGAUACCCCU
rnacentral:rRNA from 1 species